GUCCUUUUCCUUACUUUCUCUUUUCCUCCCCCAGCUUGUAUCAACAGGGUACAACUCUUGAUGCCACCUCCCUGCCUGCAGGGCUGGCAGGUCUUGUACCUGGCUGAGCCCCAUUGGAUGUGCAGCUCCGUCAGCACACUCCUGCUGCAGCUGCCUAGUGGUCGCUCGCUUUUGGGGUUGUUCAGCAGUAGAGCAGGGCUCCAGGGGGCUCCUUGCCUUUGAGACACAGGUGAGAAAUGAAUAUUUCACACAAUGAAACAUUGCUCAGCAGAUGUCAGGUGAGAGAAACACAGCACUGAUGGGAAGUUGGAGGGGUUGGGCAAGGCAGGUGUGACAACAGAUGUAUUGUCAGGAGAAGCCUGGCACGUAUCACAUAACCUCUUCAAAUCCAGGUUGAGGUAACAUCAUCCCUCAUGCCUAAAUUAUCUGCCACUUCAACUGUCAGUCAAGUUUUGGUGGGUGUUUAUGCAUUAACUGCAGAGGGCUUGUCACUGUAAAUAACCCAACAGAGCUGACACGCUUAAUCUUCUGAGUGGGGUCACUUCCAUUAUGAGAGAAGCAUUUAUUGCCACAGUUGAUAAGAAUUUUCCACUCUUCAAAAUGAACACUCUAAGCAAAAUGGUGGGGUUUUCCUAUUUGAAAUGCAUCCAUUCUGGGGUUACUGGGGCAACUGUCUCUACACCUAGCCAAUGGAAACAUCCACACGGCACUCUUUGGUAUGGACAAGGUCUUUGUUUUCUAUCCUAAAACAACUCUGUGUUCUUGUGUGAGCUCUGAAAUUAGUCAGAACACAUUGUUUUGGAAAGAUGAAUGAAUGUCCUUUUGUUGGAAAUCGGAAUUUUUGACCGGAUAGGAUGAUAAUGCAAUCUUUGAUGGCAAGAUAUAAUAUGAAAAUAUUAAGGCAAAAUCACUGAAAGCCUGAUGUUUCAUCUGUGCUUCCAAAUCAAUGAGGCUUUGUUAUAAAUGCUUUUGUAAUGAAAAGAGCAGUUUAAAUAGAAAAAUCAAUAUCCGUAACAAAAUCGUUACAGUUUCCUCUUUUGCUCUUAUGUUUGAUAAGUAUUUUUCCAAUUUGUUUGAAUUUUGACUACUCAGAUAUGCUAAAAGAAUUUCACUUAAAUACCGAUUCCUGCAUAAUUGCAGGCUGCAUGAGUUCUUUUAAAGAACAUUAUUAGUUAGGACCAGGCAUUUGCUAAUCGGUAACCAAUUUUCCAACUUUAUUUGUAUUCUUAAGGUGAGAACUAUCAGGGAAGUCAGUACUUAGAAGUGUACAUGCUGUAACAACACUAAGAACUGUCGCUGGCUGCUUCCAUGGGGAAUUAUUCCCAACUGAAUGGUAACACCACUGGCUGACAAGGCUUGACUAGCAUCCCCGCGUGAAGGGCAUCUCAUCAAUCAAGAGGGAGACGCCUGGCAUUAUUAGCUUAUUAUUAUUAGUCUAUAAGCUUGGUCUGUUGCUGAGCAUGAUGCUCACAUUCUGGUGAUCUCUGCUGGGGGAUCUUGAUGUUGAUGUAGCCUGGUGCCACAUGGUUCCUGCUGUGAGCCGUGUGGUUGUCAGCCCAUUGGAGGCAGAGCUUUCCACUAUCCUGUGCUGCUUCUCUGGUUGCCUGAGAGUAGAAUAGGUCCAGUGUGCUCCUUAGCAGCGGAGUGCUGCUGUGCCGAGGCAACCACAGUGCCCCACAGAGGCUCACAUGUUCUACUGAUUAUCCAGCACACUUAAACUUUGAGUUAUAACGGUGACCCCAGCCAGUUGGCUGAAAAAAUAUAUUUGACAUCAUUGAAAAUGUAUGCUGCUGCUGAAGCAUGGAUUUUAAUUUGGGGAAAAUGUCGGCCAUAAUCUAGCAUACAUUAAAAAAUAUAUCUUUUUAUUUCCAUAUGGGUCACGUUAAGGAAAAUAUUAAAAAAAAGGAGAAAAAAAAAAGGGAAAAAAAGCCAACUCUAUUAUAUGAAGUCUCAUUAAAGCAGCCUGGAAAAGUUUAGCCAAUUUACAGGCUAUACAUCUUAAUCUCCCCAAAUUACAGGAACGAUAGAAAAACGGGUGGCAGAGAGGGAAAGCGGGGCCAGCAGUACCUGGCUGGGGGCCAAACAAUGGAUCAAGUAGCCCGUGCUUUCCCUUGACUGCUACCCCUUGUUAUUUAAAGAAGAGGAAGGAUUUUCAAAGAAAGGCCUUGAAAUGGCAUGGUAUGGAGAGUACUUCCUUUGCCAGAUAGAAACAAAGAGCAAAACUCAUUUAUUUUAAUAUAUUUCCUUGCUCAAACUCUUCAGUGUCUAGUGUGAUGGAUUUCUGAGAGGAAAAGAAUGUAUCUGCAAUUCUGUCUAUUAUAGGAUAAAGUGAAGGCAAUGGAAGACAUAUGAUGGGUAUAACACCUACAUAUUAAUAAUAAACCGGGCUAAAUCUUACAGCUCAAGGAGAUAGGGUGACAUCAGCACAUCUUUCUGUUUGUCUAACUUGAGAUUCACAACACUUUUAUUUCUUCCAGCAUUGCUAGUAGGUGUUCCUAAGUGGACAGCAUCUUGGAAAUGAAGGGUAGGAUGGAUGAUUGGAUGAUAAAGAAUACAGAGAUGAAACAGUCGGAGACAAAAGGAAAGAAGCACAGAGAUAUAAAAUGGCAGAGAGGUCACUGCCAUUGCUGAAUCCAGUAGUGUGCAUGUGAAAAACUGCUUGAUAUCUUCUUUUGCUUCUGUUGCACUGGGCUACUGCGAUCUACUCAAAUGGCAAAAGGUGCUCUGUGAAGGGAGCAUGAAGAAGUUGUGAAAAGUCACUGUUGUCUCCUCCACUAGUUUAGUAGACCACACACUGCAGAAGGCAUCAAAAAGAGGUUUGAUUAUAGUUGACCAAUGUCAUCUCUUCCUUCUAUGGUACCCAGAAAGCACACUGGUGGCAAGCAGGCUGGAUACAAGGUACCAGGAACACUCAGUGUUUACUUCAGUGCCCUUUUAAGAUGAUUGUAUGUAUGACAAUAUUAAUCUGCUGUGCAUUUACAUAUUCCUGAGAGAAGUCACAGUUGACAAAGAAGUUCCAUACUUUUUUGGGAAGACUGUUUCACUGCACUGUUUUAUGCUUCUAGAUCCAAAUAUCUACUGCAGGAGUUGUUACUGGUUACAGACUUGGUUUUUGUUGCUUUGUUGUUGUUUGUUUUGUUUUGUUUCUGUGCUCUGGUAGGCACUCUUCCCUACCAUAUUUCAUGGGCUGGAUCUUGAAAUCUUCUGUUACUGCCUUCCUAUUCCUCAAGCCCUCUGGCCAGGGUUUGCCCCAUUAUGGAAAUUAACAACCAAAGGGAGGGGUUACUUUGCAGUAGACAUAUUCUGUGUGGCCAGCUCUGGCUUGUUUGAGGAGAUUCCUGCUGACUUGUUUGCUUGAGGAAACUUACAGCUUGGCAAAUAAGUUGCACAACCUGCUUUCUUGUGCAUCAGAAAGGGCUUUUUUGCAUGCACGUAUGUCUGUGUUUGUGAUGCCCUGCCUAGUUCUGUUGCAUAGUACUUUGAGACGUUGCCUGUGGGGGCUAAGGCAUUUUGUGUGCCUUCUGUGUCAAGCAGGUCUUACACUCUGUGCAUGUGGUAGUGUUAAUAUGGGUGUGUCCUGGGGGCAAGUUUAUUAAUACAACUAAAGAUAAUGGCCUUGGCAACAUCUUGAAGCAUCCUGCUCCAUUAAAUUAUAGACUCUGUGGAGACAAAGAGAUUAGGGAGAGCAAGGAAGAUUAUUCCACACAACAAUUUAUCAUUGUAAUUUGCUAGUUUUACAAACUUUGCAGAAUUAAGUGAGAAAAAUGAGAUGCCUUAAAUAUGCUGAAGUUCCUGCUACUAGAACUGAUGUAUGAUUAGCUCCACCUUACCAGUUUGUAACCAAGGAUACAGAAAGCAGUGUAUGUUUAUACAGCAAUGAGUAAAAACACUCAUAAACGAUUUGUGUCAUGUUUGAGAGAUACAAGAAUGCAAAGAAAAAAAGAAACAACCACCAAAAUAGAGCAUUGAACAAUCCUACCGACUCAACACUCGCGAAUUCAUAAUAUCAAUAAAUAUAAAUACUUCAAGACGGGGCCAUGACUUCUUGUACAAAGGCUGCUCCAAAAGUAAUGCCUCCUUUUUUUAUUAUGUUGACCCGUGAGAUCAGAGGCAGAUGUUGGUAUGGCAGUAAAGGCUGAACCUUCCUAUCAGUACCCCUUUACAUUCUGUUGCCACGUGACAGAUGGCAGCAGAGGGGCAAUCUGACACAAUAAUGUCUGACAUGAGAGUGUGUAUGAAGCAAAGGUGUGAAACAGAGUUCCUCCAUGUGGAAGAAAAAUGCCACCCAUUGACAUUCAUUGAUGUUUGCUUAACAUUUAUGGAUACCAACUCAUGGAUGUGAGCCCAGUGAGGAGUGUAUGGUGCAUUCAGCAGAGGCAACAGUGGUAGUAGAUCACCUCCUCUGGUGUACAUUGUUACGAGUGCAGCAUGCAGCUCUUGUUCAUUGCUGGUGAAAAAGCAGAGCUAAUAGUGAUGACUGUGUUGAAAAGUAAUGUUUUAUACCUGACAAUGUGGUCUAUCAAAUAGUGUUAUUGCAUUCUUUGUAUCUGUUGUAGUUUCCAUGGAAAUAAAUAGGAGGCAUUACUUUCAGAGUGACCAAUGUAUGUUCCUACCACACUCCAUAUGGUGACAUUGCAGUCUGGUCUGAGUCUGGUUACCUGGGCAAUGAGUUUCUAUGCAUACAGUAACUAGUUAUUUCUCAUAAAGAUUUUUUUGGCUGCUUUGCCCAUUCCUUGUGUAAUCCAUCUCUCACCAUCUUCUUUUUCUGGAGUGUCUCAGAUGUUCCCAGUGUCUCCACUGGAUUUUCAUGACAUAUGCACCACCUCCAGCCUUUCACAGUACACAACUGUGCUAUGAGGUUAGUGCCUUUCCUUUAAACCUAGCUUCUACCACCUCCUUUCCAGCAGACCGACAGACUUCAUGUAUUCCUACUGACUAAACUUAGUUUUUAGGUUGCUUCUUAUUGUUAUUCCUUCAGAUGUGUCUGAAUGUUUGAUGUGUUAAGUCUGAUGUGGGUUUUCUGACAAAAGGAAGAAUCUUUGUAAGUUUAUUAGCAUCCGCACUGACGAAGCUUUCUGUGAUGUAUUUCUUUCUACCACCAGCAAGAGUUCUAUUUAUCUUCUACGUUUUCUUCUGUUUUAACUUUCUUUUGCUGUUUUGUUGUUCUCUUAAGUGCCCUCAGACAACCUACAGUGUGUGGUUAAAAGUUUGAGAUUGAUGCUAGGGAAUAAAGCCACUGAAAUGCCCCCUCUAAACUGAGUCCAUUCUCAAUGUGGCACUUUUGAAAUGCAGCCUUUCUUCACUGCGAUUUGGCCAAGGCUAUCACUGUGUUGCUUCUGAGUUUUGAAUUCUUAUUGAAUGCAGAGGUAAAAGCUAGUAGAUGCACACAAACGUCACUGUACUAUCUCUGAUAUUUUAUGACUGUUAGAUUUUACAUCUUUGGGUGACUGUGAUCUAUUUCACUAACACUUCUCCUUACUAAUAUCUGUCUACUUUUGUCCUCAGAGCUUGCUAGCUCAUGGUGUCUGCACACAGACCUAAGUGGGAAGCACAGGCACAGCUUCCUUUGUGCUGCCCCCUGGGCUGCAGGGGCAGUUGCUUCCCCAGGCAUGAAUGGUUCCCUAGAACAUGCAUGCCAGGGUUUCACAAGUGAGCCAUAAGGAAAAAAAGGCUUCUCUUUCACUGAAAUUCAGUGUGAGAUGAGUACUAACUCUCAGCAGGUUUUCUGAAAGAUUCUGGUCAUGAGUCAGACUGAGGAAGAAUCAGGAUAGCACUGUGUGCAUAUCGUUCAGAGCUCUCUGAGAAGCUGAGAACAUGACUGGAGCACUGCUACUAGUGGCUGUUGCUGACCAUGCUGAGCAUGCUUCUAGAAUCUGCACAUUCAAAAGCACAGCAUCAAGACGUUCCCAUUUGUCUUUGUUGAUUCUGUAGUUGAAACAAACUCAAAGAACGUAGAAGAGCAAUACCUCAAGUUAUAGUUGUUUUAUGAAGUUCCUUCUCCUCUGUAAAUUAGCUUUAACUCUAAAAGCUGUAAGUGGAGGAAAAAAGUGAUAGAAGAAGGAAAGAAAUGCUCAUUAAAUGUUAUUGCACUGACUGUUGCAUGUUAGCAGGUUCAGUUCAAUCAUACACUUGUAUGUACUGUACAAAUUGUUUCAGUCUCGUUUUCUGAAAAUUAUUUACAUGUGAAAUAGAUGUUUAGUCCUUAUUCUAGUUUUUCAGUUCCAUCUAUAAAGAGUGUGGCAGACACACUGCUGAACUUGAAGCUCUUGGAGACCAUGUUUCUUUGACGGAACCUUUUCUAAUAGUGAGAAACUUUAUCUGAAAGAAUGAGUGCAACUUUGAGACUCAGGAGCUGUAGUAUUGGACCCUGGCUAACCUGUAGCUCUGCAUGUGGCACAGGACAAAUCCUUUUACUUCACUUUCUACUUUCCACUCUUCAGGCCUGGGAAUGACAUACUUCCAAAGUAAGAUACCAAAGGAAACAAGAGUUAUCUCAUGUGUUAGAUUCCUGUAACUUUAAACUCCCAAUAUUCUUUUUUGUAAGACAUGGGAACUUUUACAGCUAUCUGACCUUGUAGAAUGUUACUGGUGUUUAGAAAGCUUUGAAGUGCAAGUAAUAAUCUUCUGCUUGAGUUCUUGGUCCCUAGCUGAAGCAUUCAGUGGUACACUCCUCUUGGAACAGGAUGGGGCUGUAAGGGCACAGUGGCCAGCUGCACCAGGACAUUUAAUUUGUUCUGGUUUUAUUUCAUUACUAUAAACAAGCCCGCCUGUUUACAGAACAUUGGUCCUUACCAUUACAGUGUUCUUGAUUUUAUUUUAUUUGGAGCCCCUGAAAUCUUCUGUGGUACUAACUCUUCUCUUCUUCCCCUAUUAAGAAUCACAGCAAGGCAACCUAGACCAUACCUGUGAUAUUUGUCAUAGUAUUGCUUAAGCAUUUUGGAGACAAGGGCUGUAAAACUGGUGCUCAUAUGUGUCUAUGUAUACAUGGAUAUAUGAAUGUGCGUAGUAGGAAAAGAGAAGUUUUGAAGACUUGGAAUUCUGUCUUGUAUAUUCUACUAAAUAGAAGUGUAUUUACUGUAUUCUGUGUGAAACCCCAAAAGCUCUUUGAUGGGAAUCUUGACUGUUCCCUGAAACUGAAAACUGAAAGGGAAAAAAUGUUUUCUUAACCUGUUAUUUGAAUGUGGAACCCACUUCUUGAGUCACCACUUCCCUAAGGAGGAAAGCUACUAGAACUGGAAAAAGUGUCAUGCUGCCCUAAGGCAGCUCUCUUUUUUGUGUAGAAGGGAAGUUCAUCAGUUCCCUGACACAGGCCUCUGUAUUUGACAGCCCAGAUAUAAAUAAUACCAUAAGAGAACUAUGCUGACAUCAAUCUUGAUUGUCCGAUGUUGAAGGUGGCAACAUGCCCUUCUUGCUCAGCCCAAUAACAUAUUCAGACAGAAGAGGCUGACUGCUGUAUUCUUUCACAGCUCUCGAAGAGAGGUGGAAAAGGAGUAAACGUUUGUGCUCCUGUCCUUUCUGGU